rnacentral:rRNA from 1 species
AUUGACCGCUGGCGGCAGGCCUAACACAUACAAGUCGAACGAAUGGCGGACGGGUGAGUAAUGUCUGGGAAACUGCCAGAUGGAGGGGGAUAACUACUGGAAACGGUAGCUAAUACCGCAUACCAUCAGAUGUGCCCAGGUGGGAUGAGCUAGUUGGUGGGGUAACGGAUCACAACGGCUACGAUCCCUAGCUGGUCUGAGAGGAUGACCAGCCACACUGGAACUGAGACACGGGCCAGACUCCUACGGGAGGUAGCAGUGGGGAAUCUUGCACAAUGGGCGCAAGCCUGAUGCAGCCAGGCCGCGUGUAUGAAGAAGGCCUUCGUGUUGUAAAGUACUUUCAGCGGGGAGGCGUUACCUGCAGAAGAAGCACCGGCUAACUCCGUGCCAGCAGCCGCGGUAAUAC